GACGAACGCUGGCGGCGUGCCUAAUACAUGCAAGUCGAACGCUUCUUUCCUCCCGAGUGCUUGCACUCAAUUGGAAAGAGGAGUGGCGGACGGGUGAGUAACACGUGGGUAACCUACCCAUCAGAGGGGGAUAACACUUGGAAACAGGUGCUAAUACCGCAUAACAGUUUAUGCCGCAUGGCAUAAGAGUAAAAGGCGCUUUCGGGUGUCGCUGAUGGAUGGACCCGCGGUGCAUUAGCUAGUUGGUGAGGUAACGGCUCACCAAGGCCACGAUGCAUAGCCGACCUGAGAGGGUGAUCGGCCACACUGGGACUGAGACACGGCCCAGACUCCUACGGGAGGCAGCAGUAGGGAAUCUUCGGCAAUGGACGAAAGUCUGACCGAGCAACGCCGCGUGAGUGAAGAAGGUUUUCGGAUCGUAAAACUCUGUUGUUAGAGAAGAACAAGGACGUUAGUAACUGAACGUCCCCUGACGGUAUCUAACCAGAAAGCCACGGCUAACUACGUG
rnacentral:rRNA from 1 species